rnacentral:rRNA from 1 species
AGUGAACGCUGGCGGCAGGCCUAACACAUGCAAGUCGAGCGGCAGCGGGUCCUUCGGGAUGCCGGCGAGCGGCGGACGGGUGAGGAAUACAUCGGAAUCUGCCCUGUCGUGGGGGAUAACCUAGGGAAACUUAGGCUAAUACCGCAUACGACCUACGGGUGAAAGCGGGGGAUCGCAAGACCUCGCGCGACAGGAUGAGCCGAUGUCCGAUUAGCUAGUUGGCGGGGUAAAGGCCCACCAAGGCGACGAUCGGUAGCUGGUCUGAGAGGAUGAUCAGCCAACUGGGGGUUGGAGACCGGCCCAGCUCCUACGGGGGGGCGCAGUGGGGAAUAUUGGGCAAUGGGGGCAAGCCUGGUCCAGGCAUGCCGCGUGGGUGAAGAAGGCCUUCGGGUUGUAAAGCCCUUUUGUCCGGGAAGAAAUCGUCUGGGCUAAUACCCCGGGCGGAUGACGGUACCGGAAGAAUAAGCACCGGCUAACUUCGUG